UCAUAGGAUACAUAUCAACAACAAUUAAAUUACUACAUAUAAAUUUGGUCAUCUUUCCUACACAACAUAUACACCACAUGGCCAACCCAACAUCUACAACUUCAAUUAAAAUCAUCACACUUUCAUUGUCAACAUAGAAUUCACAACAACAACAACAACUAAAACACUUCAUAAAAUCAUUGAAUCAUUGUUACUACAAUCACCCUUGCACACGGCCACACACAAUCAUCAUGCAAACUUCCAUAUUCUUAUGAAUUCUGCUCCUUUCUACAUUCCACAACAUAAACAAAGACUCCAUAACAUAUAAAAGGAGAUGAAUUCUUACCUUUUCCUUCAACUUCCUCACUUAACCAAAGUUGUCAACUUGCAACAAAGAGAGAGAUUCUUGCCUCAACAACUAUACCAUGUUGAAGAGCAUCCUUGAGUUAGUAGAAAUGCAUGAAGAAAUAAAUUUUUGGGACAAGAUUUCAUGGGGAUGAAAUCCCCUCCUCUUGGCCGAAACUCCCCUUCUUUCUCCUUCAUCUUUCUUUUUUGUUCUUUCUCUCAAGUUCUUGAAUUUUUCCAAAUGGCAAUGUGAUGAAUUCUUCUCAUCCAUGUGCCAUAUAUUAAAGGGUCAUGUGCAUGGCACAUGCCCUCCUCUAGAAUUUUCUUGAAUGGUGGCAAAAGAUGACUUAUUUGUCAUCUUUGCUUAUUUUUUUCUUUUCUCCUCUUUUUCUAGAAUUUUGUGAAAUUACCAUCUUGCCCUUAGUCUUUCACAUUAUUUCCAUUGGCCAUUUUGCAAAUUUCUCUUUUUACCCUUGGCCUCUCCCAAUAUUUUCAUACCACCAAUGUUCAUAAAUAAUAUUCCUAACCACUCGUACAUUAAAAUAAUUCUUGAAAAUGAUCUUGUCCUUAACUUGUCACGACUUUCUCGGAUUAUCCGAAUGUAUGAGAUACGGGAUAUAACAAUUUUGGUCUUCUAUUGGAGCAAAGGAGUUCCCUGUUGGUUAACUUAAUCAAGAACACCACAAAUAACGGAGUUGACACACAAAAAAGAAGUGGCACUUUUGAAGAGUGUGUGAUACCAAUUAUUGGCAAGUGAUGCUCGAAUUGUGGAAAGAUGAAUUCCAUUUGUCUUGUUGCAGAAUUUAUUCUAGAAGUUUAGGGAAUUAAAGAGAAAGUUUGGCGUAGUUUCAUGUUGAAAUCACUUUAGCUUUUAUGUUUUAGUUAGAAUUUGUUUUAUUUGAGAUAGAACAACAAGUCCUUUGAUUUGAUAACGUCUAACUUGCAAGGAGACCUUUC